ACGUCAUGUGUAGGUAGGGCGCAGAUGUUUCUACGGAAAAUUAAAAACUUAGUAAGAAACCUUUUCGCCUGAGUUGUCUGAAAGUAUGCCUCAAGAUAUAAUAACCUAUUUAUCCAGACUUGAAUCAAGUUACACGUUUUUUUACGAUAGUCCUUUUAUUUCAGUUUCAAGAGAUAUUUUGCCAGGUGUUCGUACGGCAAGAGCUAUCUGUAUUUUAGUUUCAAAAAGGCUGUAUCAAAGGUGUCUGCACUAGCAGGCUUUGUAACACAAGAGCUGUCUGCAGA